AUGCUCCCCACCACCUCCAUUCAAAAUCGCACCGCCGCUGCUCUCCCCCCACACUCACCCACUCACUCACUCCCCCCGAGCUCAGCUCAGCUCAGCUCAGCCCGAGAACCAGCAGGCACCACCGCCGCUCACACACCACAGGAGGAGGAGGAGGAGGAGGCCGCGAUGGGCGAGGUGGUGCUCAUCUCCCGCCCCGGCGACGGCUGCGGGGGCGUGGGGGAGCGGAAAGCGGACCAGCAGGAGCGGCAGGGGCAGGUGCUGGAGCUGCUGCUCGCCGCGCUGCGCAAGUCGGUGGCGCUGCCGUGCCAGAUGGCGGACGCCGACGACCCGGCCGCCGGCGCGGGGGCCUGGGGGAUGGACAUCGGCUGGCCCACCGACGUCCGCCACGUCGCGCACGUCACCUUCGACCGCCUCCAGGGCUUCCUCGGCCUCCCCGUCGAGUUCGAGCUCCAGAUCCCCUGCCCAGCGCCCAGCGCCAGCGCCAGCGUCUUUGGGGUGUCGCCGGAGUCGAUGCAGUGCGGCUACGACGACAGGGGGAACUCGGUGCCCAAGAUCCUCCUGCUCAUGCAGGAGCGGCUCUACUCCCAGGAUGGCCUCAAGGCAGAAGGGAUCUUCCGCAUCACCCCGGAGAACAGCCAGGAGGAGCAUGUCAGGGAGCAGCUGAACAGGGGUGUCGUGCCUGACGACAUCGACGUCCACUGCCUCGCUAGCUUGAUUAAGGCCUGGUUCAGGGAACUACCCGAAGGUGUGCUUGAUAGCCUCUCACCAGAGCAAGUCCUGAACUGCAACACCGAGGAACAAUGUGUGGAGCUGGUGAGCCAUAUUCCUGUAACACAUGCUGCACUGCUCAGCUGGGUCGUAGAGCUCAUGGCCGAUGUCGUCGAAGAAGAGGAGUCAAACAAGAUGAAUGCCCGGAAUAUCGCCAUGGUUUUCGCACCCAAUAUGACACAGAUGUCAGAUCCUCUUACUGCUCUGAUGCAUGCUGUUCAAGUCAUGAACUUGCUCAAGACCUUGGUUCUCAAAACACUCAGAGAACGUGAGGAGGAUGAAGGAUCGUAUUCGACAUUUUCGUCAUCGCCCACUUUAUCCGAUGGACUUGAUGAGGUGGACCGUGAGCACGACCAAGGUGAUGGCAAUGACAGUGGGACUGAGAAAUAUGGCGAUGACAGUAGUGAAAGCUCAAAGAGUGUUGACAAGGCCAACAACCUGAUAACGGACAGCGAACAGCUAAUUGGUUCGUCCAGGAGGCACACCUCAUUUGAGUUCCGUUUGCCUUGCACCAUCAACAAUGACGACGAUGAUAAAUAUCCAUCUCUUAACGACAUCGAAGAAGGUUUCUUGAGGAGGCUAGAGUGGCAGGAAGUGAGCAAAGGCGGCGAUGAAAAAGACGAAGGAAGCAUCUUCUUUACCUCCACCAAAGAUGCAGAGCAGCUGAGCUCCUCUGAAACCAUAAGUGAGUCUUGCAGGGUAAGUGAUCAAACAAGUAGCACUGAAGAUGCAGUUGGUACUAACAGCAUUGAGCCGACAAUGCAAGUGGCGACCAGGACCGAAACUACAAGCGAGAAGGCCACAAAUGCCAAAGAAGUGAGCUGA
rnacentral:rRNA from 1 species